GUAGUUAGCCGGGGCUUCCUCCUUGGCUACCGUCACUUUCUUCGUCACCAAGGACAGAGGUUUACAACCCGAAAGCCUUCUUCCCUCACGCGGCGUUGCUGGGUCAGGCUUGCGCCCAUUGCCCAAUAUUCCCCACUGCUGCCUCCCGUAGGAGUCUGGACCGUGUCUCAGUCCCAAUGUGGCCGAUCAGCCUCUCAGCUCGGCUACCCAUCGUUGGCUUGGUGGGCCGUUACCUCACCAACUACCUAAUGGGACGCGAACCCCUCUUAAAGCGGAUUGCUCCUUUGACCUCAUCCCGAUGCCGGGUCGUGGUCUUAUGCGGUAUUAGCACUUGUUUCCAGGUGUUAUCCCCCUCUUUAAGGCAGGUUGUUCACGCGUUACUCACCCGUUCGCCACUAAGUACAAACCGAAUCUUGUACUCCGUUCGACUUGCAUGUGUUAGGCACGCCGCCACGCGUCGUCCUCGAGCACGAUACAACUACUGA
rnacentral:rRNA from 1 species